UUAGUGGCGGACGGGUGAGUAACGCGUGGGUAACCUGCCUUACACAGGGGGAUAACACUUAGAAAUAGGUGCUAAAACCGCAUAAGCGCACAGCUUCGCAUGAAGCGGUGUGAAAAACUCCGGUGGUGUAAGAUGGACCCGCGUCUGAUUAGCUUGUUGGCGGGGUAACGCCCACCAAGGCGACGAUCAGUAGCCGGCCUGAGAGGGCGGACGGCCACAUUGGGACUGAGACACGGCCCAGACUCCUACGGAAGGCAGCAG
rnacentral:rRNA from 1 species